rnacentral:snoRNA from 1 species
CACCUCUCAGAGUAGCCCCUGGAGAGUUUCCAGUACUCUACCAGUCUUGACUAUGGGAGGGAGAGUCAAGCAGAGGCAUAGCCAUUCCAUUCCUAGCUUGGGCAGUGGCUAGCGAAUGAAAGGCCAUCUGCUACAAAU